rnacentral:tRNA from 1 species
CGCCACUGUCGCAAGCAUUGUUCCGGCCUUCUAGGCCGGACUUCAUUGAGACAAGUGGACGUUGAGCUCGUCCAGCGCCGC